GACCUCAGGUCAGGCGGGGCUACCCG
rnacentral:rRNA from 1 species